rnacentral:rRNA from 1 species
UAAAGCACUUUUGCAGGAAAGAAACGCGCAGGUUAAUACCUUGCGCAACUGACGGUCCUGCAGAAUAAGCACCGGCUAACUACGUGCCAGCAGCCGCGGUAAUACGUAGGGUGCAAGCGUUAAUCGGAAUUACUGGGCGUAAAGCGUGCGCAGGCGGUUCGGAAAGAAAGAUGUGAAAUCCCAGAGCUUAACUUUGGAACUGCAUUUUUAACUACCGGGCUAGAGUGUGUCAGAGGGAGGUGGAAUUCCGCGUGUAGCAGUGAAAUGCGUAGAUAUGCGGAGGAACACCGAUGGCGAAGGCAGCCUCCUGGGAUAACACUGACGCUCAUGCACGAAAGCGUGGGGAGCAAACAGGAUUAGAUACCCUGGUAGUCCACGCCCUAAACGAUGUCAACUAGCUGUUGGGGCCUUCGGGCCUUGGUAGCGCAGCUAACGCGUGAAGUUGACCGCCUGGGGAGUACGGUCGCAAGAUUAAAACUCAAAGGAAUUGACGGGGACCCGCACAAGCGGUGGAUGAUGUGGAUUAAUUCGAUGCAACGCGAAAAACCUUACCUACCCUUGACAUGUCUGGAAUCCCGAAGAGAUUUGGGAGUCUCGCA